UUGUAUUAAAUGAUGAUUGAAUUAAAGCAUAGUUCAUCAGAAUAAAGAUGUUGAGCUUUAUUUCGCCCCUAUCUGAUAAUUAAU